UCCUACGGGGGGCAGCAGUGGGGGAUAUUGCACAAUGGGGGGAACCCUGAUGCAGCGACGCCGCGUGAGCGAUGAAGUAUUUCGGUAUGUAAAGCUCUAUCAGCAGGGAAGAAAAUUACGGUACCUGACUAAGAAGCCCCGGCUAACUACGUUCCAGCAGCCGCGGUAAUACGUAGGGGGCAAGCGUUAUCCGGAUUUACUGGGUGUAAAGGGAGCGUAGACGGCAGUGCAAGUCUGAAGUGAAAGGCAAGGGCUCAACCUUUGGACUGCUUUGGAAACUGUUGUGCUGGAGUGUCGGAGAGGCA
rnacentral:rRNA from 1 species